rnacentral:rRNA from 1 species
UACGUAGGGUGCGAGCGUUGUUCGGAAUUACUGGGCGUAAAGGGCGCGUAGGCGGCCUUCUAAGUCGAACGUGAAAUCCCCGGGCUCAACCCGGGAACUGCGUCCGAUACUGGGAGGCUUGAAUCCGGGAGAGGGAUGUGGAAUUCCAGGUGUAGCGGUGAAAUGCGUAGAGAUCGGGAGGAACACCAGAGGCGAAGGCGGCGACCUGGACAGAUACUGACACUCAACUACGAAAGCGUGGGGAGCAAACAGG